CUCUUCAUCUCUCUUGUUCCUGACUCUUCUCUGCCUGUCAUGGGCUUUUCUAAUCUCUUCAACGCAGCCCCCGACACAGGCACCUUUGCAGCCACCAACACAGCCUCCAUCACAACCACCAUCACAGCCUCCAUCACAGCCACCAACACAGCCUCCAUCGCAGCCACCUUCAGAGCCUCCAUCGCAGCCACCUUCAAAGCCUCCAACGCAGCCACCUUCAAAGCCUCCAACGCAGUCGUCACAACAAGCCAACGUUGCUUGUAAAUCCACUCCUUACCCUAAACUCUGCCGCACAAUCCUCUCCGCCUUCAAAUCCUCACCGUCCGAUCCAUACCGUUAUGGAAAGUUCACACUCAAGCAAUGCCUCAAACAAGCACGUCGCCUUUCCAAAGUCAUCAACCGCUUUGCACAGCGCGUGGAGAAAGACCCCAAAGCGUCCACACCGGAGGAGGUCAGUGCAGUUGCUGACUGCGGCGACCUGGCGGCACUUAGCGUUGAAUAC
rnacentral:lncRNA from 1 species